AAAAGUUUCAAUAGUGUGAACCAAUAACAACGAAAAAGUUAGGUAGUGUUGUACCAGGGACGGCGCCAAGGGGAUGGGCGAUUGCCCGCCCAGGAUAAGUUCUCGUCCCCCCCCAAGAUAUUUAAACUCCUAUUAACUGUGGCCGUGGAGCACUAGACCAAGCUAGUCUCCCAACUAUUAUAAUAUAAACGAUUUUUGAACACAAGUACUGAAUUACCUAUAUCCUGUGAUUUUGAAUCCCCGGGUCUGAUUCCUCAUAAUUUGAAUCGACGAUUAUUCAACAAUCACUGUAGCGCUGUACAUAACAGUUUACGAGUGUAUUUAUUUUUGAUAGGCAUAUUAUUUCGUAAUUGUAAAUAAUAAAUAGAAUGAGUGGAGCACUAUUUUCAUUAUUCACUCUCCGUAAUCGAUUAAAGUGACGCGAUUCAAAAUGUUUAAAAAUAGCGGAGUUCGCCUAUUAGUCUGGUUUCCCACAGGACUUGUCAUUACACGACAUAAUAUUUGUUCACUGUUUAUGUAUGUGUGUGUAUAUGUGCCCGCUUGCCUCAUUUCGUUUGUGUUUAGAUAUAAUUAAUAAAUAUAAAUAUCUUCAGUAGUUCAGUGUAAAUUUCGUUUCAUUUCACAUUUUAUUUAUCUCAACAACAAGUAACAACUAUAUAUAACGGCGUAAUAGCGACGAUUUUUAUACAUUUUUAAUAUUUUUCAUUUAUUUUUUUUUGCAAAUCUUUACCAUUGGUAUAAAAUAUAGUCAGUUCUGUUUAUUAAUUAUUUCACCAGUUUAACACGUUAAAUCAAAAUGAGUGUUCGAAAAAUUGAUUCUACUUAGGUCCUCAAACAAGUCCAGUUAAUGAGGAUGAAUUAAAAAAAUAAACAAAAAAACUACAAAUUUAUACUGGCGGAAAUUGCCAAUUUGGUGUAAUCGUGGGAUGUUCAAAGUGAUUAGACAUAAACACAAUUUGUCCAACCGUUCAGCAGUUUUACCUUGAAGAAUAUCAUACACUUCACCAACUUCCAAUGGAAGAAUUCCUUCCUUCUGACCCAACGCCGCUGGAAGGGCAGCUGCCCUGGGCCCCACCAUUUUAGGGGACCCUUGCCUUUCAUGCCAUUUAAUGAUUAUCGGUCACACUGUGCGACAGUUUUCCACGGAAAAUAUGAGCCAUUUUUGGAGGAACUAAUUUAUGGAUUUCUUUCCUUCGACCAAUGUCUAAACAUAUAAUAUUUGGUUUAUUAGAUUAUAUAUAUUAUAUUAUUAUAUUAUACAUAUUAUAUUAUUAAAUUAUAUAUAUUACAUUAUUAUAUUAUAAAUUAUUCAAUACUUAAUAUUGUUGGUGGUGAUUUAAUGGAACAGCUUGAUGGUUUACCUUUAAUUGAUGGUUUAUUCACUUCUAUCAAUCGUUGACGGCUAAUUUUUGUACGUGUUUCUUUAAGAUCUAACUGCAAUUCGUCCAAAGGCAUAAAUAAAUUUAUUUAAAUGAAUAUUGACAAACAUUUUUACUAGGUAGAUCAUUUUAAUAAAUUGUUUUUUAUUGUAUGUACACUUUUAUGCGUCUAAGGAUUGACUUAUUCUAUAAAUUAUUUAUGAAUAUGAAUUAAAUUUUCUACUCAUUUCUUUUUGAUAAAUAUUUAAACAAAUAACUCUAUAACUUAUCAAUUGGCAUCAAAUUUCAGUAUCUGUCAAUAA